rnacentral:lncRNA from 1 species
UAAACUAAAUCAAAAAAAAUGGGCAGGAUAAAUAAGAAGAAAUCAUUCUUUCCAGAAUAUGUCUGAGGAGGGUUCAUCUGUGUAGCCUUCCCUCCUUUUUCUCCUUUAGAUGUGAUAGAGAAAAUGCACCAGCUCUGCUGAUAAUCAUGUCAACUCCAGGAGUUGCAAAUUUUAAAAAUGAUAUAAAGAAACAUGUUUAAAGACACAUUUAUUAUAAAGUAGAAUUGCAGUCAUAUCUAAUGAUGUGAUGGGGAAAACAGGGCAGGGUCGAAGCUUCCUCCUCAGCCUUGAUGUCUCCACAUACAGGGUACCUACAUUACUGCCAUCUUCCUGUUAAUCAUGAAGGUGUCUCAGUGCAAAGUUAGUGUCGUUUGAAGGAACAAUAAAAUAAAAGGUUUUCUCAUUCAUACCAAAAAAAAAAAAAAAAAAAAAAAAAAAAAAAAAAAAAAAAAAAGACACUUGAAUGGACACCUAGAAAAACCCAAAGAACAGUCAAGGACAUUGUAAAUGAACAGUAGGUCACAUUAGAGUAAGACACCUUGGUUAUGGGGACAGAGUUUCUAGCAUAUUAAAUGCUUUUAAUUGAUCAUUUCCUUAACAAACUACUCAUUCUUGAUUGGAGAUAGGGCUGUGAAAAUGACGUACCUUGUUCACUAUUGUAAUCAUCACUAAUUGGCAGACCUGAAAGAGACUAGAAGUUUUUAGUUGUAAACUUGGGUGUAUCCAUGCAGGUAGAAACUAUUUACAAAGUCUCUGAGAGCUAAGUGGUGGGGACAAAAUGAUAGCUCUAGUAGAGUUCACUUUUGAGAGUCUUGUGAUAAGCAGAGAGAUGUAUCCUGUCCUCCCCUCUCCUGGCCCCAACUGGAAUCAAGAGGGAGAAGUGGUUCUCAACCUUCCUGAUACAGUUCCUGUGGUGACCCCCAACCAGAAAACUAUUUUUGUUGCUACUUCAUAACUAUAAUUUUGCUACUGUUAUGAAUCUGUAUUCUGACAAAGAAACUGACGUUAGAUGCUGAUGUGCCAACACUUGAUAACACUCCAGAUUUAAAAAUAUGUUAAAAUUGUCAGUAGUAUAGUUAAUGUGAAUGUUUUUAUUGUUUGAACUUUAUGGGUUAGAAUCUUCUACUUGAAAAAUAUUAUUAGCUUGCCAUGAUUACUCCCAUAUAUGCAUGAUAUCCAUUUGUAAUUUAUUAAACAUUAAAUAUAAAACAUGGAUUCUAUAACUAUGUAGAAGAAAGUGUAGAUUAGGUUGUUAGAAAAUGUACCUAAUGUCCAGCUCCUCUGAAACAACCAAGUAAAUGAUGGUGUAGUAGCAUGCUGGCUCAUGCCUCUAAUAUCAGUACUCCAGAGGCAGAUGUGGACAGAGCUCUGAUUUCAAGGCCUGCCCGGUCUACAGAGUGAGUUCCAGAACUUUCAGGGAUACACAGAGAAACACAGUUUCCAAAACCAAAAAACAAACAAAAGGAAUGCUUAUGCAAAGAUACCAUAUUUUUGACGCCAAUUUAAAAAUGUUAAAAGUAAUUCUGUUAUCAAAUGAAUAAGUAACUCCAGUAACUG